AGCAUUCGUGUGUGGUUUUGUCUGAUGAAAGCAAAGGCAGGGAAAAUCGGUGACAAGCUAAUUCUCUUUUGCAACCGAGAACUCAUUGUUCAAUAGGAGUAUUGAUACAAACAAGAAAAAAAUAUG